rnacentral:rRNA from 1 species
GACGAACGCUGGCGGCGUGCUUAACACAUGCAAGUCGAACGGAAAGGCCCUGCUUUUGUGGGGUGCUCGAUUGGCGAACGGGUGAGUAACACGUGAGUAACCUGCCCUUGACUGUGGGAUAACUUCAGGAAACUGGGGCGAAUACCGGGUAGGAUCUCCUGCUGCAUGGUGGUGGUUGGAAAGUGUCGGCGGUUGGGGAUGGACUCGCGGCUUAUCAGCUUGUUGGUGGGGUAGUGGCUUUCGAAGGCUUUGACGGGUAGCCGGCCUGAGAGGGUGACCGGCCACAAUGGGACUGAGAUACGGACCAGAAUCCUACGGGAGGCAGCAGUGGGGAAUAUGGCACAACGGGCGGAAGCCUGAUGCAGCAACGCCGCGUGCGGGAUGACGGCCUUCGGGUUGUAAACCGCUUUCGCCUGUGACGAAGAGUGAGUGACGGUAAUGGGUAAAGAAGCACCGGCUAACUACGUG